rnacentral:lncRNA from 1 species
UCCUCUCACAUUAUAAUUGUUCUUCAAUAAUAAGUUAGUCCUCUUGAUUGAUGUAAGAGAGAAGAAUCGUGGAGAGGUUGUUACCUUCUUUAUGUAUUUUAUAUUGUUGUCAUUAUUUACUGGGAGCAGUCCUCUUACAUCUUUCUAGACCAGAUAGGGGAGGAAAAAAUAGAUACCCCAAAGGGUAAGGGGAACAGAUACCCCUCAGAGAUAAAAAGUAUAAUGAGAUACUUGAUGCAAUAUGCAUGUCGAUACAGAUACAUUUCAGACCAUACAGACUUCAUUCUAAUUUUUUCUUUUUCUUUUCUAUUUACUUUUUUUUUAUUAAGGAUUACAUAUUACAUAUAUUACAUGCAAAUUCAUCAAGUGUCAGUAAUUCACAAAGCAUGCUUGAAAAUCAGAACAAUUGGACUCUUUGGAACACAGAGGCAUGCAAAAUAGAUAAAAUAACAAUCAUAUUAAAUUUUCUUAUCUAAAAAUACUCCUUAAAAUGUCGAAAGUAAUACUUGAUUCCUUACCAAAAUCUUGGUGUUUUCUUUUUCACCAUUUUCCUUUCUUUCUCUUCUUCUCUCACUAAUUUACUAUCUCUCUCUCUCUCUAAACCUUUGAGAAAUAGAAAAAAUGGAAGUGUAGAGAGGAAGGGAAGGAGAAGGAAAAUUUAUAGAAUUUCAGAACUGUUGGAUUUGUGCCAAGUGGCGAAAUCUAUUAAAGAGAAAGGAGAAAAGAUUCUUGGCACAAAAAACAAGGGAGGAAAAUUU